rfam:Rattus norvegicus chromosome 7, whole genome shotgun sequence.
GGGGAUUUAGCUCAGUGGUAGAGCGCUUGCCUAGGAAGCGCAAGGCCCUGGGUUCGAUCCUCAGCUCCG